AUGGCCACCCUCUCCAUGCUCACCUCUUGGACAAUCUGAAAUGAAAGAAACGCCCGCAUCUUCCAACUCAAGAGUGCCCCACCGACGAUUCUACUAGCUAACAUCAAGAUUGAGGCUCAUACUUGGGUCAUCGCGGGUGCAUAGAAAUUGGGAUCCAUCAUGCCACGAGAGUAG
rnacentral:rRNA from 1 species